rnacentral:lncRNA from 1 species
CCUUAAGAGAUGAGGGGAACCACGGAUCAACGUCUGACAUCAAGUUUUGUUACCUUCUUUUGCUAGGUUUUUGUGUGCUUCUGGGUGGUGUCUUGGAGAUGGAGACGCCGUCGUCUAGAAGAUUGGUGUCCUGUCUCCUUCAUCAUCCUGGUGUAGGCGUUGCAACCUAUGCCAUGGAGUCAGUGAUUCUCACAAUACGUUUUUUCGGGUUGCUGGUUUUUUUUCUUGUGGAUUCAUCGACGGAGAAGCAGUUUUACAACUUGUCUUGUAAAGGGUAUUACCCCGGUCAUGGUGCGUUCAAUGAUUUUAGGUUCUCACCGUUUGAGAUGGGCGACUCAUGCCGCUUUUCAAAACCUCUGAGAUUAGUUCAGCUUGUGCAAGCAUGGUAUUCUGUAAUUUUGUCAACGAAUACGUGGAGAAGUAUCAAGAUGCGAAUGAUGGAUUAAGAGAAGUUUAUUUCGAAGGACUACAAUGGAGCUUUUAGUUUUGUUGAGUUUUUUUGUUAUUUGUUUUCGUCGUGUAUCGAUCUUUGUACUUUGUCGUUUGAAUCAAUAAAGCCCGUUGCUUAAAAAAAAAAAGCCAACACACGCAUGCCGCCACGGGACUGAAGCACCGUUUCUCUCCCGGAGUCCGGACUGAAAACAACAGAUUAAAAUCCCACGAGCCCCAUUAUGGCCAUUAAACCUCCGCUCCCCUCCUUACUCACCA